rnacentral:rRNA from 1 species
CGAAGCGCAGUACCGGACGAGGUGCCGAGAAAAGCCCCUCCGUAUGCUAAGGAACCCGUACCGCAAACCGACACAGGUGGGUGGGUAGAAUAUACCAAGGCGCAAGAGUGAACCCUGGUUAAGGAACUCGGCAAAUUAGCCCCGUAACUUCGGAAAAAGGGGUGCCAUGGCAACAUGGCCGCAGAGAAAUGGCCCAACCGACUGUUUAUCAAAAACACAGCACUCUGCCAAGACGCAAGUCAACGUAUAGGGUGUGACACGUGACCAAUGCCGAAAGAUUAAGGCGAGCGGUUAGCCGCAAGGCGAAGCUGUAAACCCAAGUCCCGGUGAAUGUCGGCCGUAACUAUAACGGUCCUAAGGUAGCGAAAUUCCUUGUCGGGUAAGUUCCGACCUGCACGAAUCGUGAAACGAGUUGGGCACUGUCUCAACCGGGCGCUCAGUGAAAUUGUAACGCCGGUGAAGAUGCCGGCCACCCGCAGAAGGACGGAAAGACCCUAUAGACCUUAACUGUAAGCUGUCAUUGUUUCUUCGGUUCCGAUGCUCAGAGUAAGUGGGAGACGCUGAGGUGACCCUUUAGGGGGCCACUGAGUCAUCAAUGAGACACCACCCUUCGGAACUGGAGGAUCUAACUUCGCGCCUUGAAUCAGGCAGAAGGACCGUGUCAGCCGGUCAGUUUUACUGGGGCGGUAUCCUCCCAAACAGUAACGGAGGAGUGCGAAGGUGGGCUCAACCCGGAUGGCAACCGGGUGUCGAGUGCAUGGGCAUAAGCCCGCCUAACUGUGAGACCGACAAGUCGAGCAGAUGCGAAAGCAGGCCCAAGUGAUCCGGCGGGAGAGAGUGGAAUCCCCGUCGCUCAACGGAUAAAAGGUACCUUAGGGAUAACAGGCUGAUCACGCCCAAGAGUUCAUAUCGACGGCGUGGUUUGGCACCUCGAUGUCGGCUCGUCGCAUCCUGGGGCUGGAGAAGGUCCCAAGGGUCCGGCUGUUCGCCGGUUAAAGCGGCACGCGAGCUGGGUUCAGAACGUCGCGAGACAGUUCGGUCCUCUAUCCUCUGUGGGCGUUGGAGAAUUGAGGGGUUCAGACCUUAGUACGAGAGGACCGGGUCUGACGCACCACUGGUGCACCGGUUGUUCCGUCAGGAGCACGGCCGGGUAGCUAAGUGCGGAAGGAAUAAGCGCUGAAAGCAUCUAAGCGCCAAGUCCCUCCCAAGAUGAGUUCUCCCUACAGGAGCGUGGAAGACGACCACGUUGAUAGGGUGCAGGUGUAAUUGCAGCAAUGUAUUGAGCCGAGCACUACUAACAUCCAAUAGACCUCUUUCAC